rnacentral:tRNA from 2 species
AGGGACAUCGUUCAAUUGGCAGGACAGCGGAUUCUGAUUCCGUCAAUCAAGGUUCGAGUCCUUGUGUCCCUACCA